AUUCAGCACACAUUAGAAGCAUCAAAACAACAACAAAAACAACCUCAGGGUCUCUGUUUGUGAUGCUGUAUUAUAAAUGGCUUUAGAAAGGACACAUUUUCCUAAGCUCCAAACAAGCCAUAGAUGCCUUAGUUCCAACUGCCAGACAAAUAUUUUUUGUUCACCCAAUGAUGCAGUGAUGCUGCAGUAGAAAGCUCCUUUGGUUCAAGACCCAAGACAAGCAACAUUUAGUCUUACAGUCCUAUGCCCGCUUUUCCUAGGCUACCUUGCUCAACAGUGAAGCUUGCGGGUGCUACGAGGGAUAGAAGGCUGUGUGAUGUGGGCCUGAACCAAG